rnacentral:tRNA from 1 species
GGCGAAGUAGCUCAGUUGGUUAGAGCAGCGGAAUCAUAAUCCGCGUGUCGGGGGUUCGAGUCCCUCCUUCGCUACCA